UACGGAGGGUGCAAGCGUUGCUCGGAAUCACUGGGCGUACAGCGUACGCAGGCGGCUCGAAAAGUCGGGUGUGAAAGCCCGGGGCUCAACCCCGGAAUUGCGCCCGAUACUGCCGAGCUUGAGUACGGGAGAGGGAUAGCGGAAUUCCUGGUGUAGAGGUGAAAUUCGUAGAUACCAGGAGGAACACCAGUGGCGAAAGCGGCUUCCUGGCCCGAUACUGACGCUCAUGUACGAAAGCGUGGGGAGCAAACAGG
rnacentral:rRNA from 1 species